rnacentral:rRNA from 1 species
GACGAACGCUGGCGGCGUGCCUAAUACAUGCAAGUAGAACGCUGAAGAGAGGAGCUUGCUCUUCUUGGAUGAGUUGCGAACGGGUGAGUAACGCGUAGGUAACCUGCCUUGUAGCGGGGGAUAACUAUUGGAAACGAUAGCUAAUACCGCAUAACAAUGGAUGACACAUGUCAUUUAUUUGAAAGGGGCAAUUGCUCCACUACAAGAUGGACCUGCGUUGUAUUAGCUAGUAGGUGAGGUAAUGGCUCACCUAGGCGACGAUACAUAGCCGACCUGAGAGGGUGAUCGGCCACACUGGGACUGAGACACGGCCCAGACUCCUACGGGAGCAGCAGUAGGGAAUCUUCGGCAAUGGACGAAAGUCUGACCGAGCAACGCCGCGUGAGUGAAGAAGGUUUUCGGAUCGUAAAGCUCUGUUAUAAGCGAAGAACGGGAGUAAGAGUAGG